AGUUUUCCAUGAUGAAAUGCGUAUUAAGUCUGUGUUUCAGCUGGCCAUCCUGAUUAAACACAUGCCUCGAGCAGAGU